AGCCUAAUCGACGUGUCUCCUACUUUUAGGGUUGGACGUUAACUUUUUUAUGAAUAGCCUAGUUGACAUGUCUUCUAUUUUUAGUAACCAAGAUUG
rnacentral:pre_miRNA from 1 species